rnacentral:lncRNA from 1 species
GUAGGCUUAAAAAAAUCCACUGUGUCAUGAGAAGAAUGAAGAAAGAUCUCUAGAGUAGCCUGUUUGUUGCAGUGCACAGGAAGAGCCAAGUGUUAGAAUGCAAAGUAACAGCUCAGCAUUCGCAAGGCAACCAUGUUCUGUGCUAUUUCUGGCCAGAACAGAUGUGGCUUUGAUGGACUAUGGGGAACAAUAUCUUUCAGGAUCUCCGUUUUGGGAGGCAUAGAAACCUGCUGAGGAGAGAUGGAGCCAUCCCCAAGCCUGAGAAGAUGAGCAUAAUUGACUUAUACCAAACACUUCACUGCUCACUGUGGAUGAAAGAUGAACAACCACACAUCUCCUUUCCUUGAAAAGCCCAUGGGGUCAAAGCAGGGGUGAUGAUCCACAUGGAAGUAUUAUCAAGUCUUGGAUCCAGUUCUCUCAGCAAAGCAUAGAGCUGCCACUGAGUUAAUAAAGAAAUAAAAUUCCUAGACAUUACCUCAUGACACAGAGUCCAUGAAAAUGUACCAAGUUUGGUCCUUUCUAGCCAAGUUCGCUUUGGGAGGUGACUAUGCUAUCACACUCAGUCCUUAACGUUUUCCCUACAUUCUCCAGAGGAACCCCUUGCCCGGGUGCCCUCUGAAUGAGUCACCCGGCAGAGCUACUUCAAAAGGAGAACAGGUUUGAUGACUGGUUUUCUUUUCUGAGUAGGAGGAUUAAGAGUAGUGGCUUGCUUAGCUAUGAAUCAGCAAAAAUAAGGAAAGUACAUAUUGGACCCCGUGCUCCUUCUUAGCCAACCAUGACUUCUGAAGGAGACCAGAGCCCUGGUGGAG